rnacentral:rRNA from 1 species
UACGUAGGGUCCGAGCGUUGUCCGGAAUUAUUGGGCGUAAAGAGCUCGUAGGCGGUCUGUCGCGUCGGAUGUGAAAAUCCAGGGCUCAACCCUGGACCUGCAUUCGAUACGGGCAGACUAGAGUUCGGCAGGGGAGACUGGAAUUCCUGGUGUAGCGGUGAAAUGCGCAGAUAUCAGGAGGAACACCGGUGGCGAAGGCGGGUCUCUGGGCCGUAACUGACGCUGAGGAGCGAAAGCGUGGGGAGCGAACAGG